AUUUAGAGUUUCAGCCUAGCAGGAUCACAGGAGAGAAGCGAUGCUCUCUGUUCUACAGCAGGGACAACGUGGAUAGUUUUGCUUGUUCAGUUUUUAGUGUCUACACAGACUCUAUAAGUUCUCUAAGGAACUAAAAUGUAAUUUAUAUCCUAAGUCCCAGAGUGACUGGCAUAUCCCAUGGCUCAUUCAGAUGCUUUUUGGUGUCUUUGUAUGCCAAUGCCAGGCUGCGUCCUGCACCUUGACAAUAAGUAGCCGAAGCUGAAUAGCGUGGAGAGGAAGCCAGGGGUUCCCUGAGCAGUGAAGGACACUGCUGUUGUAGCCUUCUUUAGUGAUAACUGCUGAUUGCUUUUACCUGUAUGUCUCCAGGCUCCACUACCUACCCUCUGUCUCAAUGGCCCUGUGUAUAUCUGUCGCCCAUGGGAAGACGCCUUCAGUCUCUGGAUUCCUGCCUUCCAGAUGUUUUUCGAUCAGAGCAUCCCGGUUGCUCCUUUUCUGCAGGGGAGCUUGUGGGGACUCUCAGGCUAUGGAUCAGAACCUAAUUUUGAGCAGGGGCCUGGUAGUAAUGGCAAUGCUGGUGUUGGAGACUCUGACCUCUGACUAAGUCCAUCAGAGAGUUUUGGAGGCCAAGAUGGUCAGCCUUGUGAUGUUGGUGGUGGUUUCAAAAGAGCAAUAAGCUCAGGCUUUGGGCUUUUCUCUUCAUGCAGGACUAGAGAUGUUUCAAACGCUUGCUUUUGGAGGGGCUCUAAGGGUCAUCUUGCCAAGCAGAGUUUCAGUGCAGGAUCUCAUCUGCAGAUUCCUUUCAUGCCAGCCACUUGAUCUUUAAUCAAUCACAUGUUGGCAAAUGUUGAAUGACGGGCUCUCUGGAGGGAAGAUACAGAUUCCGUUUGUAUUUUGCCAGUUGACCAAUGCUUUCAAGUGAUCCAUGUCCCCAGAUGAGGUUUGGAAGAGACUGUUACAGGUAGCUAUCAUGAAACAUUAUGGACCAGCUGCUGCACACUGUUGCCUCUUGUGGGACACCUCAGAGGUAGGACACUGGUUGUCCCUCUGUAUGGCUCACUUCAUCGUUCUGUCUGCUGUGGGCCUAUCAGACGCCAUCACCCAAGCACACAACUUCGUCCAGACCUAAGCAAAUAUUUUGGAAAAAUUUAAAUCAAACCCGAAUCUGUCAUUCUUGUACGUUCAGCUGCACCUUUUGAAAAGGAUGUCCCACCUGUGGUUUCUAGUUCCUGUAUGUGCAGCUGUUUAAGGGAAACCGGAGGACUUGAGACCAUGGGUCAAUAGUUCUAAUACAAAACAAUAAUCUCUUUGUUUUUGCUUUUCAUUGUCUACGUGUGAGCGUUUUGCUCUCAUGGAUGUCUGUGCAUGGCAUGCAUGCCUGGUGCACCCAGAAGCCAGAAGAAGGCAUUGGAUCCCCUGGAACUGGAGUUGCAGAUGCCUGUGAGACAGCAGGGGGGUGUUGGGAACUGAACCCCUGCUCUCAGGUACAACAGCCAGUGCUCUUAACUGCUGACUCGUCCCGUCGCUCCAGCCCCCGCGAGAAUCCUUACGUCUGGGUCAGCCACCUCUAGAUCACCCCACCAGCACACUCUGCUUCUGGUGACCUCUAACAAGGAAUGGAUCCAUUCGCUGGGCUGACUUCUCAGAAGGGAGACCAAACUCCCAAUGAAGUUCUGGAAAAUUUCUAUCACACAAGUCUGCAGGAAUCAGCCCGCGUAUCAGUGACAGCCUGACAGCCUGGAAAGUCACCAGAGCCACCGCAAUAGCCCAGCCUGCAGAGCAGAUGGAGCCUGAAGCGCUCACCCUAGAACCAUCGUCCAAAGCAACUGCGCACACAGUAGCCAAGACUUCAGAUGUUGGGCUCUGCUCCAGUUUUCAACGCCUGUUACCCUGGAGGUUGAGCAACACCAUGCCCAUAAACAGAGAAACAUGUGUGCUGUGACUUGCCAAUCCGGGCCGUGUGGGAGCGCUCCUUCUGAAGUGUGGUCCACUUCCCAUGGGCCUGCAACGGGAGGUCAAGUUCCGUUCUGCCGU
rnacentral:lncRNA from 1 species